AACCAGAACCCUUUAGAAGCCUCUCUAUCACUUUGAACGCCAACUUCAUCCCCUCCCUCCCCUUUGUUUUUCAUUUUCGCUAUCGCCGGACAACAGCCGUCCACCACCACCUCACCGCAGGUCCGGCCUCUCUUUCUCUUUUCGUUGAUGGCGAACGCAGCAACCGCAGGAGACUCGAUCGGGAAAUCGCGUCGCAACUCACUCCUCGAUCUUCCGGCGACUGCAGCUCUCUUCGGUCGACUCCAGCUUCGUCUCGUCAACGGCGAAGCUCCUAUACCUCGCUCUCUUCCCUUUCCGGCUGGCGCAGCAAGCUAGCAGAUCUGCGAUCGUGGCUUGCGAUCGGUACUAUCGCGUUACUGCUUUCUUUUAUUUUUCCGGUGAGAUCAAACGCAAGCCGGUGAGACUGAGCCUUCUCUCAUUGCCAGCAGCCUUUGAUACUCCAUUGUUGUCUCCUCCAGUCAAGCUGUCGCCGGCAGCAGUGGGUUUUGGCUUUGAAGUUCACUUCCGGUCACUUUAAUUAAUUGAAAAAUCGGAGUCCUUCAGUGGGUUUUUCAGCUGGAUGUGUUGUGAUGAUGACAUGCCUUGUUUGCGUGGAAUUGGAAUGAAGUCUUCACCAUUGGGUUUGUGAGGGCAGUCUACGAUACCGUUGGCCAUGUAUGGAGAGAUCGGCUCCCCCGUGUGCAUCUGAUGAUAUGAUUGAUAUGGAUAAAAUACAGGGUGGCCUCUUAUUGGUAAUGGAAAAGUAAAGAGAGGAUGGAAAAAAAGAGAGGGUUGGUCAACUGAGGAUUAGACCGGUCGACCAUGUAUGGGGCAUCGGCUCACUGGUGCACGCGUUUGAGAGGAUGAGCCAUGUGUGAGGAUGGCUCAUCGGGGGUUUCGGUGAUACCACAAACCAAUUUCCACUUGUUUGAUUAUGUGGAGGUGUACUUAUCUGUGGGUACUGAGUUGUGCCAUAUGCUUGACUGAUUGUGUGUUCAUUUUAGUAUUUUAGGAAGCAUUGCGCUGUGAAUGCUUGUGUUAUGCCAUAAUUAAUAUUCAUUAUAAAACUCACAUUUCUUUGGUUUAACUUUUCCAAGAAGUAUAUUUUUCUUUGUACCGGCUAAAGCUCUGUUUCCUUCACCGCAGAGCUAGAAAAGUAAUUCUCUGAUUCCAGCAUAAGGAGUUAUUUAUUUCUGUUGUCAUUGAACUCUACGGAUGCAAGAUUAUUAAAUCACUUGUUAUAUAUAUGGAUAUUUGUAUUUGAAUUGGGGCCUUUAAAACGGUUUGGAUUAUUAUCAUUAAAUUGGACUGUCUAGUUGAAUAUA